GGCGGAUGGGGGGAGUAACGGCGGGGGGAAACCUGCCUUUCACAAAGGAAUAACCUCGGGAAAAUGGGAUUAAUCCCUUAUGUUACCUUAACUCCACAAGGAGCCUAGUUUAAAGAGUAAAGCGGUGAAAAUUGGUCUCGCGUCCCAUUAGUUAGUUGCUGAGGUAAAGGCUCACCAAGACCAUGAUGGGUAACCGGCCUGAGAGGGUGAACGGUCACACUGGAACUGAGACACGGUCCAGACUCUUACGGGAGUCAGCAGUGGGGAAUAUUGCACAAUGGGCGCAAGCCUGAUGCAGCGACGCCGCGUGGGGGAUGACGGCUUUCGGGUUGUAAACUCCUUUCGCCCAGGACGAAGCCCUUCGGGGUGACGGUAGUGGGAUAAGAAGCACCGGCUAACUACGUGCCAGCAGCCGCGGUAAAACGUAGGUGGCAAGCGUUGUCCGGAAUUACUGGGUGUAAAGGGAGCGCAGGCGGACUGACAAGUUGGAAGUGAAAUCUAUGGGCUCAACCCAUAAAUUGCUUUCAAAACUGCCAGCCUUGAGUAGUGCAGAGGUAGGCGGAAUUCCCGGUGUAGCGGUGGAAUGCGUAGAUAUCGGGAGGAACACCAGUGGCGAAGGCGGCCUACUGGGCACCAACUGACGCUGAGGCUCGAAAGUGUGGGUAGCAAACAGGAUUAGAUACCCUGGUAGUCCACACCGUAAACGAUGAUUACUAGGGUUGGGCGAUUGACCCCCUCAGGCCGCAGUAACACAAUAA
rnacentral:rRNA from 1 species